rnacentral:snRNA from 1 species
AUUGCUUCUCGGCCUUUUGGCUAAGAUCAAGUAUAAUACCGAUUGUAAUGCUACUGAUUUUUUUUUUUUUUUUUUUUUUUUUGUACAGGGAAUUGAACCGUAGCCUUUGUGCUUGAAAAGCAGGUGGCAGAGCCACUGAGCUAAAUCCCU